rnacentral:rRNA from 1 species
CCUACGGGAGGCAGCAGUGAGGAAUAUUGGUCAAUGGGCGAGAGCCUGAACCAGCCAAGUCGCGUGAGGGAGUACUGCCCUAUGGGUUGUAAACCUCUUUUGUCGGGGAGCAAAAGCCGGACGUGUCCGGCUGUGAGAGUACCCGAAGAAAAAGCAUCGGCUAACUCCGUGCCAGCAGCCGCGGUAAUACGGAGUAUGCGAGUGGUAUCCGGAUUGAUUGGGUUUAAAGGGUGCGCAGGCGGAUGUUUAAGUCAGCGGUAAAAACGUGGGGCUCAACCCCGUCCAGCCGUGGAAACUGGGGAUCUAGAGUGUGCGAGAGGUAUGCGGAAUGCGUGGUGUAGCGGUGAAAUGCAUAGAUAUCACGCAGAACCCCGAUUGCGAAGGCAGCAUACCGGUGCACAACUGACGCUCAGGCACGAAAGCGUGGGUAUCGAACAGGAUUAGAUACCCCAGUAGUC